GGAAGUAAAAGUCGUAACAAGGUCUCCGUAGGUGAACCUGCGGAGGGAUCAUUACCGAGUGAGGGCUCACGCCCGACCUCCAACCCUUUGUGAACCCAUCUUGUUGCUUCGGGGGCGACCCUGCCGGCACAUCGUCGCCGGGCGCCCCCGGAGGUCUCCAAACACUGCAUCUUUGCGUCGGAGUUCAAAACAAAUGAAACAAAACUUUCAACAACGGAUCUCUUGGUUCUGGCAUCGAUGAAGAACGCAGCGAAAUGCGAUAAGUAAUGUGAAUUGCAGAAUUCAGUGAAUCAUCGAAUCUUUGAACGCACAUUGCGCCCUUUGGUAUUCCGAAGGGCAUGCCUGUUCGAGCGUCAUUUCACCACUCAAGCCUGGCUUGGUAUUGGGCGUCGCGGCCCCGCGCGCCUUAAAGUCUCCGGCUAAGCCAUUCGUCUCUAAGCGUUGUGGAUUUUCUAAUUCGCUUCGGAGUGCGGGUGGCCGCGGCCGUUAAAUCUUUAUUCAAAGGUUGACCUCGGAUCAGGUAGGGAUACCCGCUGAACUUAAGCAUAUCA
rnacentral:rRNA from 1 species